rnacentral:misc_RNA from 1 species
UCUCUCGCUAGUUCCCAUACAUACACGAACAGGUGUAUAUAUGUUUACAUGUGUGCGCAUACAUGGACGUUCACAUGUGCGUUUACACACCCACACAACGUACAUACAUAUGUAUACACGUAAACUUUACAUAUAUACAUAUACAUGUAAAUACAUAUAUUUACAUAUAGUCGAGCAAUCGUGUUUUUUAAGACCGUUUCAUCUACAUGGUUUUAUUUUCUCUGUUCUUUCUCUCUCUCUCACACACACUCUCACUCACUCUCUCUUUCUCUCUCUCUCCCCCAUUGGCAAUUCUUUCGCUCGUUUCCUUCCUCUCACACUUUCACUCGUUUCUUCGUCCCUCUUCUCAUUCGCACUGUCUUUCGCACUCUGUCUCUCCUUGUAACACUCGUACACAGGCUCUCCCUCUCUCUCUCUCUCUCUCUUUCUCUCUCUGUUUCGCUACUCUCUUCGUUCAUCUUAUAAAUGUACGUUAGUAACAAUU